ACAGCACCAAAUCCUGACAUACACAAAUAUUCAGCUGCACAGUGGUGUUCCCCCACCUAGAAUACAACGAAAGCUCACCCACCGAGAUUGCAUCAGGGAAGUUCACUCCGAGGAACCAGUAGCCAAGAUUCUUGAUUGCUGCCUGAGAGAAAGCUAGAUGCAAAGAAAGAAAGCCCCGUACCUGACCUUCAUCUUACGUGAUAAAACUUCGAGGCGCAUCUCGAUGCGAGGAUGCUGAGAAGAUCCGCCAUUUUUCUGACGGAAUAGGAUUGAGAGGGGGCUGAGUGCCAUCAAAUAAUGAUGGAUCCAACCUCUUCCUCCUUUCCAUUUCUCUGUUCUUUGUUUCCAUU
rnacentral:lncRNA from 1 species